rnacentral:tRNA from 1 species
UCUCUGGUGGCUCAGACGGUAAAGCGUCUGCCUGCAAUGCGGGAGACCUGGGUUCGACUCCUGGGUAGGGAA